AACGAACGCUGGCGGCAUGCCUAACACAUGCAAGUCGAACGAGACCUUCGGGUCUAGUGGCGCACGGGUGCGUAACGCGUGGGAACCUGCCCUUAGGUUCGGCAUAACUCCCCGAAAGGGGUGCUAAUACCGGAUAAUGUCUUCGGACCAAAGAUUUAUCGCCUUUGGAUGGGCCCGCGUUGGAUUAGCUAGUUGGUAGGGUAAAAGCCUACCAAGGCGACGAUCCAUAGCUGGUCUGAGAGGAUGAUCAGCCACACUGGGACUGAGACACGGCCCAGACUCCUACGGGAGGCAGCAGUAGGGAAUAUUGGACAAUGGGCGAAAGCCUGAUCCAGCAAUGCCGCGUGAGUGAUGAAGGCCUUAGGGUUGUAAAGCUCUUUUACCCGGGAUGAUAAUGACAGUACCGGGAGAAUAAGCUCCGGCUAACUCCGUG
rnacentral:rRNA from 1 species